GUGUGUUAACUGACUCUAGAAUAAUUUAUUGAUUUCUACAGUUUUGACUUUUCUGAAAUAACUUGUAGACCUUAUGGACAUUGGACAAUAUACUAAACAGCUAUGACUGACUGAGAAGGGAAUACCCGGUUUACAGAUCAGGUUCAUAUUUCAUAUAUUUGAACCUUUUGUUUGUUUGUGAACAACACAUGACCUGAAUAAAUGCAUUGGUGAUAUUGAACCCAUCUUACUCUCGUUGUGAUUAAAACCAACGUUUACAAAUGGCGCCCAUGUACCUUGGACAUCACCAAUAGCCGCUACGCAGUGACGUAUCCGGGGCGGGAAGUGAUCACGUGCCUGUUGGAUCCGCCACGACAUAGAGCGACAUUAAAUAUCAUCGGGUUCGAACUACAGAAUUUUCCAACCAUCAUGGCUUCCAUUUACAUGUGUCGGUAAAAUUGUUUAAAUUUUUACGUACAGCAAGGAACUUGAGUGUGAAUGAACUUUAAGAAAGACAUUUUCUGAACAUCACCAUUAACCAUAGUGACAUUGAUCACUUUUGUGAAUUAAACUGUCAGUAUUUAUUUGCCAUUUAAUAUUGAAUUAUUUUGUGCAUCAUCAAUCAGCUGAUCUCUUGACAGUCUUGUUAAUUUUUACACUUGUGCUUGUCUUGAUACUUGCUAUUUAUUCAUAUGUUUAUUUAUUUAUUUUUGCAUUGACAUCACCUUGAUCAUCACCACCAUUAUUUGUGCCUCCAUUUUUGACACUGAUUGAGAAAUAUUUUUGAAGCAAGAGUCACAGAUCAGGAAGUGUGAAAGAUAUUUCAGAUUAACAAGAGGUUAAGGUAAAUAUUAACCACUAAACUUUAUUAAUUGACAAAACCUUUAUGACAGUAAGACCUACUACGCUUAUCUGAUCAAAAUGUCUGUUGUUGUCAGUUGGUAUUGAGACUUUGAGUCUGUGGUUAAAGUUAGUUGUAUUUUCAUCUGAUCAAAACAUUUGUCUGUAGUCAAAAGAUACUGGUACAUUCCUGCAGAAGUUUGUCUGUCUUUGAUUGCUUCUUCUUUAAACCACUUGAUUCAGUUUGAUUAUAUUGGUGUAAACCACUGAGCAUAUUUGAAUUUGAAAACAAUUUCCUGAUCCCAUAUUAUUAUCAUUUGACAUUUGCUAUUUGAAUUUAUAUUGUUUGUACUUCGGGUUAUUUCGUGCAUUUUGACGUUGCCAUCUGAAGAUUACAACUACAGCUUAAGAGGUUUGAUAUUUAGUUUAGAAAUUUUUAGUUAAGAGAUUGGAUUAGAAUUAUGUAGUUAAAUUAGAUUUAAAUCACAUUAUUUUUUUUUCAGGAUAAUUCUUAUAAAUCUUUUUCAGGUUUAGUUAAAUUAGUUAAUUAGAUAUUUAUUUAUCAUUAGAUUAGUAUCCUAGUUAAGAUUAGCAAUUAAGAACUAGUAUAUAGUUUUACUCAAGUACACUACAAGAAAUCAACAAACAUGUCAGUCGAAUUCACUACGGAUGAACUUGAAAACAUCGCAAAUGUGUUCAAGGAUUUGAAAGUCAAAC